UGGGGAAUAUUGGACAAUGGGCGCAAGCCUGAUCCAGCCAUGCCGCGUGGGUGAAGAAGGCCUUCGGGUUGUAAAGCCCUUUUGUUGGGAAAGAAAUCCUGUCGGUUAAUAACUGGCGGGGAUGACGGUACCCAAAGAAUAAGCACCGGCUAACUUCGUGCCAGCAGCCGCGGUAAUACGAAGGGUGCAAGCGUUACUCGGAAUUACUGGGCGUAAAGCGUGCGUAGGCGGUUGGUUAAGUCUGUCGUGAAAGCCCUGGGCUCAACCUGGGAAUUGCGAUGGAAACUGGCCAGCUAGAGUACGGUAGAGGAUGGUGGAAUUCCCGGUGUAGCGGUGAAAUGCGUAGAGAUCGGGAGGAACACCCGUGGCGAAGGCGGCCAUCUGGACCAGUACUGACGCUGAGGCACGAAAGCGUGGGGAGCAAACA
rnacentral:rRNA from 1 species